GUUUUGCCUAUGUACCUUGAAAGAACUUUGCCGGGAUUAAGUUCCUUUGUUCAUGUUCCUGUAUUUUACCUUGGAUUAUUGCUAUGUUUUUGGAUUUCUAGUUCCUAUGACAUUUAAGGACUUUUACUGAACUCUGACUGCUGUUGUAUAGCGCUAUUUAUAUCCUGUCUGCAGAUUUUGGAUAUAAACCCUGUCCCCCCUUUUAUUAUUCUUUAUUCAACAAGCUCAUUAUAUUUGAACUAUAACACUCUGGUGUGGUGUUGAGUGAAGAGGUGCCUCAGGGCUGAGGUGCAACACCAUCCUUCCCCAGAGAAUUUGGAAAAGUUAACUUUUUGAAAUGCACUCUGGCCCCAUCUACACUGCCAUAUAAUCUAGUUCAAAGCAGAUAAUUUGAAUUUUAUUUAGCAAUGUAGAAGGGGCCUUAAUUAUUGAUUGUUCACGGCCUGUCCAGACAGUACCUUUAUCCCAGGAGUUCCUGCAACAAUCAGGAGGGUGGCCAGAUGCCAUUCUCCUUUCCCAGCACUUUUACAAUGUCACAGCAUCUCUCUCCUCAAGGAAACAACAAUCCCUGUGCAACUUGUAUAUUCCAUAGAACAGCUUUUGAUGCUGUGCUCUGCCGACAAUGUACCAGCCCAAGGCCUUGGAUACCGUGCUUUCCCCCAAAUGCCAUUUGUGCUGCUAUCAACAAUGAACAUCUCUGCAUGACGCUGAAAGUUUAUAAAGAUCAUGAACAGUGGCAAGUAGUCAUGAGCUGCACCACCGUGGAUAAUCCAAAAUGUGAAGACUGGUACCUGGAUUUGUUUACCGGGAGAAUGUAUAUAUACAGCUGCUGUUCUAAUAAAAAUUUCUGCAAUGAUGACACCUACAAUGGUACUACCCAACUCAUUGGGGGGCUGAAUAAAAGGUCCUCUGAGUGACUGUCGCCAGUCGGGUUCGGGCUGGUUGGAGUAGCCAUCCCCCAGAAGACCUGUGUGUCCUAAAGAGCAGGAGAAGGCGAUCCUGUACGGAACCUGGACCUAAACUAUGGACUUCAUCAGAUUACACUGCGAAGUGUUCAGAAGAGUUCAGAAGAAGAGAGUUCAGUCUAACUCCAUUCCGUAAUAAAAAGUUUUCUCCUACCUUACAAUCACACUGUUUAGUGCACUCAGUUGUCUUGCGUAUUUUUCAAUGAAGAGGUUUCCACACUGCAGACAUUUGGC
rnacentral:lncRNA from 11 species